GGUUAAUAUUCCUGUACUUGGUGUUACUGCGAAGGGGGGACGGAGAAGGCUAUGUUAGCCGGGCGACGGUUGUCCCGGUUUAAGCAUGUAGGCUGAUUGUCCAGGCAAAUCCGGAUAAUCAAGGCUGAGGUGUGAUGACGAGGCACUACGGUGCUGAAGUAACAAAUGCCCUGCUUCCAGGAAAAGCCUCUAAGCAUCAGGUAACAUCAAAUCGUACCCCAAACCGACACAGGUGGUCAGGUAGAGAAUACCAAGGCGCUUGAGAGAACUCGGGUGAAGGAACUAGGCAAAAUGGUGCCGUAACUUCGGGAGAAGGCACGCUGGUGUGUAGGUGAAGUCCCUGCGGAUGGAGCUGAGACCAGUCGAAGAUACCAGCUGGCUGCAACUGUUUAUUAAAAACACAGCACUGUGCAAACACGAAAGUGGACGUAUACGGUGUGACGCCUGCCCGGUGCCGGAAGGUUAAUUGAUGGGGUUAUCCGUAAGGAGAAGCUCUUGAUCGAAGCCCCGGUAAACGGCGGCCGUAACUAUAACGGUCCUAAGGUAGCGAAAUUCCUUGUCGGGUAAGUUCCGACCUGCACGAAUGGCGUAAUGAUGGCCAGGCUGUCUCCACCCGAGACUCAGUGAAAUUGAACUCGCUGUGAAGAUGCAGUGUACCCGCGGCAAGACGGAAAGACCCCGUGAACCUUUACUAUAGCUUGACACUGAACAUUGAGCCUUGAUGUGUAGGAUAGGUGGGAGGCUUUGAAGCGUGGACGCCAGUCUGCGUGGAGCCAACCUUGAAAUACCACCCUUUAAUGUUUGAUGUUCUAACGUUGGCCCCUGACCGGGGUUGCGGACAGUGUCUGGUGGGUAGUUUGACUGGGGCGGUCUCCUCCCAAAGCGUAACGGAGGAGCACGAAGGUUAGCUAAUCCUGGUCGGACAUCAGGAGGUUAGUGCAAUGGCAUAAGCUAGCUUGACUGCGAGCGUGACGGCGCGAGCAGGUGCGAAAGCAGGUCAUAGUGAUCCGGUGGUUCUGAAUGGAAGGGCCAUCGCUCAACGGAUAAAAGGUACUCCGGGGAUAACAGGCUGAUACCGCCCAAGAGUUCAUAUCGACGGCGGUGUUUGGCACCUCGAUGUCGGCUCAUCACAUCCUGGGGCUGAAGUAGGUCCCAAGGGUAUGGCUGUUCGCCAUUUAAAGUGGUACGCGAGCUGGGUUUAGAACGUCGUGAGACAGUUCGGUCCCUAUCUGCCGUGGGCGCUGGAGAAUUGAGGGGGGCUGCUCCUAGUACGAGAGGACCGGAGUGGACGCAUCACUGGUGUUCGGGUUGUCAUGCCAAUGGCACUGCCCGGUAGCUAAAUGCGGAAGAGAUAAGUGCUGAAAGCAUCUAAGCACGAAACUUGCCCCGAGAUGAGUUCUCCCUGAGACUUUAAGUCUCCUGAAGGAACGUUAAAGACGAUGACGUUGAUAGGCCGGGUGUGUAAGCGCAGCGAUGCGUUGAGCUAACCGGUACUAAUGAACCGUGAGGCUUAACCUU
rnacentral:rRNA from 2 species